rnacentral:rRNA from 1 species
AGCGAACGCUGGCGGCAGGCCUAACACAUGCAAGUCGAACGAACCUUUCGGGGUUAGUGGCGGACGGGUGAGUAACACGUGGGAACGUGCCUUUAGGUUCGGAAUAACUCAGGGAAACUUGUGCUAAUACCGAAUGUGCCCUUCGGGGGAAAGAUUAAUCGCCUUUAGAGCGGCCCGCGUCUGAUUAGCUAGUUGGUUGAGGUAAUGGCUCACCAAGGCGACGAUCAGUAGCUGGUCUGAGAGGAUGAUCAGCCACAUUGGGACUGAGACAUGGCCCAAACUCCUACGGGAGGCAGCAGUGGGGAAUCUUGCGCAAUGGGCGAAAGCCUGACGCAGCCAUGCCGCGUGAAUGAUGAAGGUCUUAGGAUUGUAAAAUUCUUUCACCGGGGACGAUAAUGACGGUACCCGGAGAAGAAGCCCCGGCUAACUUCGUG